rnacentral:ribozyme from 1 species
UUCACUUUUUUGUCCAUCAUGGUUAGAGUUCCCAUCCAACUCCUAUUCCGACACGUCCUCGUCGUGCAGAGUGGUAACAUGUGCCUCCAUAUAUCCUAGCUUGGGUACACGGGCUAGAUCCAACUCCUUGGGCAGAUGGUGGCAUAUGACGAAACAGGAGGGU